CUUUAGAAAUAUUUAAAUGCAUGCAAAUAAUUUAAAAAAUUAUUGGAGUUCUAUUGUCGCGUGGAGUUCUGCUGUCGGGCACUGGGAGUUCGAGUAUUUUUAAAUUUUAAUAAUAUUUAAAAAAGGAGUUCUACUGUCGUUUGAGUGCUACUGUCGCAUACAAAGGAAUUUUUAAAAUUAUUUAAAAAAAAUAUUGGGGUUCUAUUGUCGGUGGAGUUCUUCUGUCUUUUGAGUUCUACGGUCGCCAUACCAAAGUAAAUUGCGUUUUGGACUUGGGGUGUCAGAGGUGUCCAAUAGAUGACAUAGGCGUCGUUGUUUUCAUGUGAUGGCGGAUUGUUGUGUUGAGUGGUUGUCAAAAUUUUCCUAUUUUUCCAUGAAAAUUACCGAUGAAUUUAUAAGUAAAUUCAAGUUCGUUUCUGUGCAACUUGUUUGUGAUGUGAUUUAUUCCGUAUGUGUGCUGGAUCAAAUUCAAAAUUCCUCAAUCUAACCUGUAGGAAGGAACGGGAAAGGAAAGAGUAGUAGCCUACCAUCACUACCACCAAAUCUUUGUUCUGCUGAAUGCAUCAUGCAGUAAAUACAGGAUGUUAAUGACAUGCCCUCGUGAUGUCAACAAACAGACCGUCUUCGUCAUACCUGAAUAAGAGUGAAAGCAAUAAGUCCGUACAAGAUUUCCAUCGUGGCCCCAAUUCGUCGGCUUGGAUUUAACCAUUUAUCAAACCUCUCUUCAAAAGAAUGUAGGUUUUUUGGUAUUCAUUUUGAUAUUGGUUGUUGUAGACCCAUUCCCCAUUCCCCAGCAACGUAAACCUGCAGAAGGAAAGGCCAGUUUGCAUGUCCUUUACGCUCGAAGGUCACGGGAUAUCAUUAUGUAAAACCUCACAAAUGCUGUAGACUGUAGAGGUUGGGUGAGAAAGACCCAUCCCCAGCAACACCAACCUAAAGAAGAAAAGGCCAGUUUGCAUUUUCUUCAU